rnacentral:sRNA from 1 species
ACUGGACUGAAGAUGGUGACUGUCUGUCCAUGUCUGUCCUUCCCAUCAGCCUGGGGACUUAACCUCCGUGUCGCCAGCAUUACCUAGCGCAGGGCCUGGCACCCUGGAGGCCUCAGGGUGGGCAAAACCAGGGUCACAAAGUUGACACUGAUACUGCCCCUGCCUGCUUAGGGAGUGGGCUGGGGAAGAGGGUACAGGAGCCAGACUUGAGCAUGAAAGUGUCAGUGAUGAUAGCAGCCAGCAUUUAGCGGGUACUUACGUGGCAGGCAUCGUUCCAAGUCCUUUGCAGAGAUUAACCCAUUCAGUCCUUUCAGUACCCUUUGUAUUAUUUAUUAUUUAUUUUUACUUUUUGAGACGGAGUUUUGCUCUUUUUGCCCAGGCUGGAGUGCAAUGGCGGAGGUUGCAGUGAACCGAGAUCGUGCCACUGCACUCCAGCCUGGGUGACAGAGGGAGACUCCGUCUCACAAAAAAAAA